UCUUCAAAGGUUGGCACGUGACUUUCACGUGACCAUUUCGAGAGGGCCAAGUACGCUCUCGCCAACUUCUUCAUCUAUAUGCAAAUCAUUAUGUUUUUUUUUAACCUCAACAAAUAAACUUGACAGCAACAAUUCUUAGGACUUACCUCAUCUACAACUACUUGCACAAUUUCUGAUCUUCCUCCUGGCCUCAUUUCUUGUUCAAUCUCUUCUAAAGUCUCAAACACACUUCCAAAAACGAUUCUUACAUAGCUUGGUAGCUUUUCAGUGCCCCCAAGAUCCCAUCUGGACAAUAAAAAUGCAUGUCAAUGUACCUACUCUUAAAUUUAUAUAUGGGAAUUAAUAGAAUGCGAAUUAAAGAUAAAACCUCUGGAAAGCAUCCACAAGACUUGUAACUUCAGGAAGGGUGCCAUAUGCAUCACAUGUAUCAUUAAAAACAGUCGCCACCGCUGUUAGUUUAGCGACUAUAAUUCUCCCAAGUGAAUACCGUGGCUCGAAAUACAUUGCCACUGACCCGAAAAAGACCUCUACAAUUCUGUCCCUGAUGUAAGGUAGCUUAGAUGAAAGAUCUAUAUCUUUCCACCAUCUGCAAUAAAAAUAAAAUAUGCAAAUAAAACAAGACUGACAAAUAUUGAGGCUCAAGAAUUUAUUACCACAGCGUACUUGGUCAGAUCUUUUAGCUCUUGGAUGUAAUGUAGCUGACAAUAGUUGAAGUUGAGCUUAGCAAACUUGAGCAGCGUCUCGUUGUGAGCUUCUUCUUGAUCGUAAAAAGAUAUAUAUUCUCUUGUGGCUAGCAUCUCCAAGUUAUGAUAUCGAGCUCUACACAAUGCGUUUUUUAUAUGCGUAGAGAGAUGGGGACUAACACUUGCUGCGUGAUUACCUGUCAACGACUCCAAGUGAUGCCGAGUGAAUCUCAGUGCCUCGUCCAUUAUAUCUUCAGAUGGUGUCCCGAGAUGUGCCGCUUGGUACAACUGCAGCAUCCCCCUAAUGUCCUCGGCUAGACUUUCCUUAAAAUUUCCAUCUUCACCUUGAAAUCUACUGAAUGCAUCUACAAUGAAACCGAAAGCGAGAUUAGAUAUGUGUGUAUAUUUACGUGACUCAUGUUAGCUGAUGUUCUUACCGCAAGACAUGUAGUAACCGCGUAGUCUGAAAACCUCAAACAUGGUGGAGAUUGUUUCCAAAUCAUCUUGUUGGGCUAUUAUGCCAUCAAUUUUUCCAAAAGCUUUGUUAAGAAUCUCAUCAAUCUCAGUCUCGAAAUGAUAUGCGAUUCCAAGUUUCACUAGCAAAUGGAUGAGACGGAUCCUUUCACUGUCCCUAUUUUUGAAAGACAUGAGCAUAUCUCUCACUUUUGGCUUCAUCGUCACUUCAAUCUCUCUCGACAAAUUAUCAAAUUCCUACAAAGCUUAGAUGCAUUUUUAUAAGUAAUAAUGUUAUCUGAACCAACAAUCUUGAACCACAUAGUGUCAUCAUGUGAGAUUUUAUCCAUCUAUAUAUCCACUUACAUCGACAUCGAGGGGAACAGAAAGGAAGUGAUCUCCCCAAAGAGUGGGAGAAAAGUGUACCAAGGGACGAGUUCUCUCAAGAUCAUCAUUACUCUGAGUAGCCCUAACGCAAAGCAAGUGGUAUUUUUCCGGUUUCAGGGAAAAAGUGUGAUUGUGAAGCCAACGGCUAGGAAAGAUAGAGACGUUGGUCUUGAAAUGGAGGAGGACUCUGUGAACGUUAGGCAGAUUUUUAGGACCAAAACUCAAUCCUGUUGAUUCCAUAUUGGUAUUGUCCAAAAGAUAUAGUCGAAAUAAUCUUUAGUGAUACUCGUUGUAAUGUUUGGUUUCCAUUUCAGUUGACUCUGUCAUAUCGUAAGUAAAACCCUAGAAGUUUGCGUCCGCGCACACGUUUCAGUGGAGUACUUAGAUAUCAUCGAAUGAAUUAAUAAUAUACAACUAUUAUCUUCUGUUAUUAUAUUUUGAUAAAUAUCUAUGCUUAUUGUUGGGAAAGAGUGGGAGGAAAAAAUGUCAAAGACACAUGACUUGUUAAAUAUCUCUAUUUUCUCUCCCUCAAAGUGCAGUAGACUUCUUGGGGAAAAACACUUUCUAAGCAAAUCCAUAAAUGCUGAAGUAUAAAUCGGACAAUAUCAUAAUAAUAUGAAAGUAUGGACAUUAAUAGAUAUCUAAUUCUGGUAGAACGUUUAUAUAGUUGAAGUAAAUUACUUCAGUAGAAAAUCAAAAUUUUAUUGAAGUAAAUUACUCGUCUGCAGUAGUGGAUCUAAAAACAAUUUUUACCCGAGAGGACUAUCAUAAAUUUUGAGUUAACCGGAAGUUUUUUCAUAUAUUUGAAGUAAAUUACUUAAAGAAACUCAAAAUUUUGUACUAAUUAACUUAUAGAAAAUCAAAAUUUAGUUAGUGCCUCUGCUGCCUGCUGGUCUGUGCCGAACACACUACUGAAAGUUAUGAGCUUUGAAUAAACGUUUUCUCUACGAAAACCUGAAAUGUUGCAGAUACCCUCGUUCCAUCUCUCUGUUUUCAUAUAAUUACUUACUAAGGCAGUAAAGGACAUAAGCCUAUUAACUUCUUCAAUACAUUUUCCGGUCCUCCCGUGAUUUGUCAUCUGAAAGUUGAAGUUAACGAGGGUUGUUUGCUUCUGUUUCGGGAAAUUGCGUGAUUCCUAGGUUUCCGGCUUGAGCCUAGGAGUGCGCAGAAAAGACAAAUAGGGAAUAAAGAUGUAGUUAUGUACUGAAUUCAUAUGACAAAGGGCCAAAGCUAGCUGUUUCAUAUUCCAUCUGUUUCACAAAGAGUGUCACUUAGACAUUUUUUAUAUUUAUUAAGAAACUGAUUGAAAUGCGUUUAUGGAUUUUUUUAUUAAUUUUAUCUAUUCAAUCAAUAGCAUUUUAGAUAAAUAUUUUUUUAUAAAAUCAAUGCAUUUUACAAUUAAUAAUGAGAUAAAACUAAAUAUAAAUUGCAUUACAAUUGUAGAAUGACCAAUUUUUACGUAACAAAAAUAAAAUAAAAUGACAAUUAAUAUGAAAUAUAUGGAGUAGUAUCUAUGAAUUUAACCUCAAACGUACGUUCAUGUAUGUAUUAAUUAGUAGUAUAUGUCAUGCUAAUGCCGCAUGAUUUCAAUCAAUUUCUUAUAAAUAUAAGGAAUUACAUGCAACAUAUUUAUUUACGUUCUUUUUUUUUGCCAAAUAUUUACGUUUUUUUUUCUUUAAUUGAAAAAGAUAUUUAUAGCAAGUUAAACUUAUAUUUAUAGGAAGCAAAUCUUUUCUCCUUGGAUUACGCAAGUUCAAGUUAUAGGAGAAUGUGGUUGAGGUCAAACCAACCCUAGAAACAGCCACGUGAGACGUGCACCACCUAAAUUCAAAACCUUUAAAUGAAAAGAUUGAAAUCGUUGGGUUCACCGUCUCAUCAGAUCAAACAAAUUGUUCACUGAUCUGAGAGAGAUAGAGAUGACGAGCAUCGAAGAUGACAAAAACAGAUCAGUGCAGCCUCCUCCGUUUCAAGGCGCCUCCAACUAUCCACAGCAGCCGCCCGCUGGUUAUCCACAGCCGGCUCAGCCCUACGUCUCCGGUAAGUUUCUUAUUUUCUCAUUAUAUGGACAAAAUGUUAAAGUAUCAGAUCAGCUGUUUGAUUUCAUGUUUUUGUGGGGACUAAAUUUUUUGUUUUCUUAAUAUAUAUUCUAUUGAAUAUUCUUUAGAUUAUUUAUUCUAUUUCUUAGUACCAUUAUUUUAUUCAAAACCUGAUCCAGUAAUUGUUUUAUUGUGUCCGAACCUGAUCAAGUAAUUAAAAGAUAAUCUACCUAUUGCCUCUUUUGCACCGUACUUCUUCGUGGUAGUCUACUUUUUAGACAUUUGAGAGACAUCAAUAUGUACUUAAGAAUAGGAGAUGAGUUGAUAACUAGGUGUUAAAAACUGUUUUUCAUACUGAAAGAAUAACAGUGCAAAUUCAAAAUGAACUUUACUUAAGAAUAUUUAAGAUGUUGGAUUCAUAUAAAUUUAAAAUACACUCUAAAUCUCAACAAAUGCAAAAAAAAAAACAAUGGGGACCAGUAUUUACUAGAAAAUGAGACAUAUAGUCUCUUUUCUGUCUGUGUUCAACAAAAAAAAAAAGUCUCUUUUCUGUCAUAAUUCUCUUCCCAAUAGUCUAGUUUCUCAAAAAGGGUUGUGCAAUUAUCGCCACCACGCACACUUGGCUGGUCUAAUCUAAUGCUCGUUCUUGUGUUUCUCUAGGUUAUGCUGUAAAUGGGCUAACAGAAGAGCAACGUCGUCUUCCUUGUUGUGGUAUAGGCAUUGGUUGGUUAUUGUAAGUCUAGUCCAUCAUUAUACCUUCUCUUCUGAUCGUUUACGUACUAUUGUCAAGCAAACACAAACCCACAUUUAUAUAUGUUUUUUGUUUGUUUUGUUUCUUGAAAGAUUCAUCCUUGGUUUCUUCUUCGGUGCUAUCCCCUGGUACAUUGGCUUCUUCCUUUUACUAUGCUCUAGAAAUCCGCGUGAGAAACCAGGAUAUAUAGCUUGUACAAUUGGAGUGAGUUUCCAUAUUAUUAUCUCUUAUUUUACCAAUACACUUUUUUUUUAAUUGUCCUGAUGAGACUAAAUUAAUUCUGACCAACAGGCUGUUAUUGCCACGGGUUUCAUCGUUUUUGGAGCUAUAAGAGGAUCCGGGGUCUGGUAGUAAAGUGAAAUGUAGUGCUCCAAAUCCGGUACAGACCGGUUCGGGAGAUACUGGUGCAUAAGAAGAUUGUACAUGUGUGUUUUUUACUUAAAGAGCUCAAUGUAAACUGUUUGAAGAUUACAGAGCAUUCAGAAAAAAAAAUACUGUCUCCUAAAAGCCAUAUUGAAGUGUUUCUACUGAAAUAAUAUAUAUAUGUGAUUUAAUAUAUGGGUAAUUUAAAACAUUAUUAACGGAAUCUCUCACAUGAUCGGUUAUAAGAAAACAAUAAAAACCAGAAAAAAAUAGAAAAAUAGAUGUUGUUCUAAAUCAAAAAAGCUUUAAAAGUGUUAAGAAAAAUGUACUAACAUUUGUUUUGAAUAGUUUAAUUUCUUAUAUUUAAAAUUUAAUGUAGUAUUAAGUUAAGAGAAAAGUAAUAAUAUUAAUAAAAUAAAGAUGAAAUACUCUUGUCAUCAUCAACUAAUAGAGCCUUACGUUUGUCCUAUGGAAUGCUCUUUAAGGCCCAAGUGGAAAAACAAAAGCCCACAGAAACGGCCUAGGGUUGGGUCCUAGAGAGCGCUCUCGCUUAUAGUUUCUCUUCACCGCCACCUUUCAGCUCUUUCUCUCCUCUCUGUUUCCUUCGAGCUCAUUUCCUUGGAGCUUGAUCUCUCCCUUGAAAUGGGUGCUUUCCGGGUAAGUUUGUUCUCCCUACCGUAGAGUGAUUCUGAGUUUUGGUAGUUGUUCGUUGAUUCUAGAGUGUACUCGGUAGUUAUGAUUGUGAUUUGGAUAGCUAUAAACUGGAUUCGAACAGGAGAAUGUAUCAUAGGGAUGAACUAGUUCUUAUUCGUUGAGAAAGGUUUGAUCUUUAUGUUUGUUCCUUGUUCAAAAUGUGAUCUUUAUGUCUUACUAUGGAUUGAUUCCAUCAAAUUUUGUUUCUUUGAUCCUUUGGUUUGAUCUCUAUGGUUGAUCAGUAUGAAAAAUGUGGUCUUUAUGUUUUUUACAAAGGAUUGAUUCUUUGAGCAGUUUCACCAGUACCAAGUGGUUGGGAGAGCCCUCCCUACAGAGAAAGAUGUGCAGCCUAAGAUCUACAGGAUGAAGCUAUGGGCUAGUAAUGAAGUCCGAGCCAAGUCCAAGUUCUGGUGAGUCAAUGCAAUGCCCUCUGUUAAUUGCAGUUCAUAAGUUAAUUCACUGAUCCUAAGUUCAUUUGGUUGUCUCUAGGUACUUCCUGAGGAAGCUCAAGAAGGUUAAGAAGAGCAACGGACAAAUGCUUGCCAUCAAUGAGGUCAUUUAAUUGUCUUACAUACCCUUUCUUUUGUAUGUUCAGUCUGUUUAUGAUUCUGUGGUUUCUACUCUUGUAGAUUUUCGAGAAGAGCCCCACGAAGAUCAAGAACUACGGUAUCUGGCUGCGUUACCAGAGCCGAACUGGGUACCACAACAUGUACAAGGAGUUCCGUGACACCACUCUGAAUGGUGCGGUGGAGCAGAUGUACACUGAGAUGGCUUCUCGCCAUAGAGUGAGGUUCCCUUGCAUUCAGAUCAUCAAGACCGCUACUGUCCCUGCGAGUCUGUGCAAGAGAGAGAGCACCAAGCAGUUCCAUAACUCCAAGAUCAAGUUCCCUCUUGUUUUCAGGAAGGUCAGGCCACCGACCAGGAAGCUCAAGACUACUUACAAGGCCUCAAAGCCCAACCUUUUCAUGUAAAACCAUUCUUUGCAUGAUUGUCUUUGUCCUUUUUCAACCAGAUCAGAUUAGGUUUCUUGCUCAGUCUGAACAAAAACACCAUUUGGAGUCUGAUCAAAUUUUUACUUUUGCAUCUUUUGAACUUUUAUUAUCUAGGUAUGAUUAAAAUAUUCAUGUUUUGCAUCACUUUCUAAAGUUUUGUUGGUUCAAAGAUAAUGGCAAAAAGUUUAAAUGUUGAGAAAGUUAAACCGUGGCGGUUAUGCAUGUGAACCAUUCAACUCUUCGGGUUGAUGUUUUUUUUUUUCACACAUCAAACAGCUCAUACUUGUCUGCACGAUCUUCUUUAUUCAAGACUCAAUGGUCGUUGUCCAUGUGGCUGCAUUAUUAGUCCUGAAGGAAGCCAUUUUCAACUCUACCGUGAUACUCAUCGAUUCCAAGAGAAAACCGUCUAGUUCCAUCUCCAUUCUAACUUAACCCUAGGAAAGUUGACCCUAGUUUCUACUAGUAUAUAUUCAUCAAUUAUUUGUGUCAGUAUUUUCCAUAAUGUCAUACAUACAGCUAAAUUAUCGUACAGAAUUGUAAUGUCCUAGACGACCAAUUCCUUUGCCUAUGUCCUAGACAAAGAGAUGUGCCCGAGGAAUGCUACAUAUUCUGGUUUCGUUCUUUAGUUGUCUAGUUUGUAUCAAAAGGACAGAGAUUUCAGUCGCUCUCCAUUGCAUGAAACACGUCUUUGAAUCUAAUUUUUAUGGCGUCACAAAAAAGAAUAUAAUCCCACCGUGUACAUGAUGGUUCGUAGAAGCAAACCAGAGAUCCAAGUUUGCAUUGACUCCAAAAUCCUCCAUUAGUACUAAAAAGUAAAAAAAAUUUAGAGUUUAUCAUGUGAUGUAUCCAGAAGCAGAUACUUACAAGAGAGUAGGACAAAAGCUGAAGAUAGGGUUAGAGGGGCCUUUCUCCGUUAUAAGAUGCCUAUGAAUCACUAUGAAAGUGUGAUUCUCCCUUAUUGGCUUUUCGGAAAUAAUAUCAGAAGCGCUAGUGUUAGGGGCCUGAACUUACUCAAUGGUAACAUGGAUGUAUGCAUACUUUAUCGUACUUUACGUUCAGAGCAUCUCCAUAAUCUGUCACACUCGCAUUAGUGUAUCAUUAUUGAAGAACAAAUAUCAAUGAAUAUGAAAUAGCAAAAAACAUUUAUCCAAAAUCUUUAGUUAAAAAAAAUUAUUGAGUACUUAAAAGGAUCUUAGGAUUUGUAAUAUUCAUUCACAAGUUUACUAACAUAAAUCUGAGAACAAAUGAAGAGUAUUUGCCUGAAUUUUGUUUCUCCUAUUUAAUCUGUUUACAUCGGAAUCUAAACACAAAGACUUGAUAAAACUCAUGUUGCCUGAUUGAAUCCAAAUAAAAAGACAAGACUAUUGUGGAUAAGUCUGGACUAUUCCUCAUGACAUCUCGAGACAAGUGACCACCUUCUGCAGAGAAAAAUACACGACAGAAUAUUUUCUAUUCACUCUCUAGCCAAUAAGAAGUCAUUCAAAGUGAUCACAAACAGUGACACUGUCGUCCCGGCAAAAACUUAUCAAAAUCAAAGUCGUUCGCGAACAAUAAACCAAAAUACUUAUGCCCCCAGGUCUAUUCAGAUAUUGAAAUUAAAAAAUAUAAGAUUCCACAAACAGAUUUUCUUUCUGUUAUUCAUAUUACAUGCUUCAGUUAUUUAUUUGGUGUAUAUCUUGUACUUCAGAUAUUUAUUUGGUCAAACAAUUAUUAUGUGGUCAACAGUUUUUUGUAAACAGUUUACAAGAAAUCUUGGUAUAUUUUUUUGUUCUUACUAUAUUUUCUUGUUCUAAUAUUACUUUUAUCAAAUUAGUAUAUAUUCAGGAAAUGUGUUACCUGUUUACAAGAAAAUCUUGACCACAAAAUAAAUUAUUGACCAAAUAGAUAGUUUAUAGAUGAAUUUGACUGAACGGUAUUCCUUCCGUCUUAUAAAUUAAAGAGUGUCGUUUUAACAUUAUAAUUUUGUUUUACAAAAGUGUUACUUUACAUUUUUAAUGCAAAUUUGUAGACAAUAUUUCAAUUUCAGCCUUAUUACUAGUAAUGCAUUAAUUGAAAAGAUCAUGUUUAUUAAUGCAUUAAUGUUGGAAAAUGAUUUUUAAUAGUUUUCUUACAUUUCCUUUAAUCUCUUUAGAUAUGUAGAGAGAAAGUGCAUUAACUAAGUAAUAAAUAUUUAGUUUCGUGUUUCAAGUAUAAUUAAUAAUAAUAUAUACUCCAUCCAUUCCAAAAGUAUACAUAUUCUAGAAAAAAAAAACUGUUUCAAAAAUAUGUAUUUUUUAUAUUUCCAAUGCAUUUUUGUUAAUUAAUAAUAAAAAAUUGUAAACUUCAAAAACAUUAAUUUCAUUUCUUAAAGUUUUUUUGGUUUAGAAAUAUAGGAAAUAUAAAAUUAUAAAAAACUAUGCAUUAAUAACUAUGUUCUAUUAUGUUUUAUUAAUAAGUGUGAAAAUCUUAAAACCUGUAGUAUUUUGAAGCAGAGGGAGUAUACUACUCAUCUUCCACAAAGAUAAAUAUUUUUGGAAAAUACUUGUUUCACAAAGAUAGUUUUUUUUGUUUUCUAUAAUUUUUAUUAUUUAAUGAUAAAAAUGUUAUUUAAAAAAUGAACUUAUUAAAACACUAUCAGUUUAACUUUAUUUAAAACUAAUAAUCAUAGAAAAAUGUAUUAUUUAUACAAAAUUAAUGUGUUCUUAAUAUGUGUGAUCAAGUAAAAAAAUAUAUUUUUGUGAAACAAAUGAAAUAACAAUUAUGGCAAGAAGUUAUAUUGUAAAAAAAAAAAAGACUUAAGGCAUGGAAGACAGAUGUGGCCAGAGGUCGUGAAGUUCCAAGUAAAGGCAAAAACUUCGACGGUUACAAGAAAAAUACUUGUCCGAACACACAAAUUCUAUAAAUAUUAAAGACAUGUGACCACCUGCAUUUCUUCAUCAGCAUUAUCAAACUCUUAAUACACCAAUAACAUUAGAAAAUGGAGACAUUACUUACAUCAUUGGCUAUGGUUGUUGUAUUGUGGUGGAUAUGGAAAAUUGUGGAGUGGGUUUGGGUUAAGCCUAAGAUGCUAGAGAGUUACCUGAGAAAACAAGGUCUUGUCGGCACUCGUUACACGCCUCUUGUCGGAGAUGUGAGAAGAACUUUUAGCAUGUUGAAGGAAGCAAGAUCGAGACCAAUGAAACCAACGGAUGAUCUCAUUUCACUUGUCAUGCCUUACUCCUUUCAAAUGCUCAAUACUUACGGUAGAUAUGUUUUUCUUGGUUUGGAUUAUAGAUUUUUUUAUUUUAUAAGUAACAUUGUCCUGAUAUAUGUAUGUGGCUGCAACAGGAAAUACCUUUUUCACAUGGUUAGGACCCGUACCAUCCAUCACAAUAAUGAAUCCACAACUGAUCAAAGAAGUGUAUAACAAAGUUUAUGAUUUCCCCAAGACUCACACGUUUCCUUUGCUUGCGUUGAUAACUGAUGGACUCGCUAAUGCUGAUGGAGAUAAAUGGGCUAAACACCGGAGGAUCAUCAACCCGGCAUUCCACUUUGAGAAGAUCAAGGUUGCUAGAUUCUCUUUUCUAAUAUGUCAGAUCCAAGUUAAAUUUCUUUUGACUAAUGAGUUGAUCAUAUUCUAAAUUAUGUGCCUGUAUAUAUAGAAUAUGGUCCCUACGUUUCAUCAAUGUUGCCGCGAGGUUGUGUGCGAGUGGGAAAAGUUAGUUUCAGAUAAAGGGUCCUCUUGUGAGGUUGAUGUUUGGCCAUGGAUUGUGAAUCUAACCGGGGAUGUGAUUUCUCGUACCGCUUUCGGUAGCAGCUAUAAAGAAGGACAGAGGAUAUUCAUACUACAAGAGGAACUAGCAAAGCUCAUCAUGCAAGCUCUUGGAAAGAAUUACAUCCCUGGAUAUCGGUAAGAAACUUGACUUGUUUUGGUCUAAUACUAGCAUGACUGAUUUGUUUUCUAACACAAUAUACAAUCUUCUUAUGUUUAUAUGAAUUUCAAUGCUCUAUUUGCCAUAGGUUGUGGCUUUCAUUAUCUUUAUUAAUAGUUAUUUAUUUUCAAUAUUAAAUUCCUAUUAAACUAAAUCAAUCUUGGAAAUCUCACUUUUGAGGGAGUUUUUGAGGGAGUUUUUUAAUUCAUUGCUUGUAUUGUGAAUUUUGGUUUUCAUUUAUUAAGCUUUUCCUUCAUUUUUUUGCCAUAGGUUGUGGCUUCCAUUAUCUUGAUUAGUAAUUGUUUAACAAGAAAUUCCUAAUAAAUUGACAAAUGUUUAUUCAAAAUCAAUAGAAAAUGAGGAUAAUGUUUCAUGGCUUGUAUAUACUAACUCAAACUUUUGUCAAUGCAGAAUUGAAUUUCACAUUUCAUUUUUUUCUUGGCGUAGGCAUAUCCCAACAAGGAAUGCUACAAGGAUAAAGACAAUAGUUAGAGAAAUCCAAGUUAUACUAAAAGGGAUCAUUAGCAAAAGAGACGAGGCUAGAAAAGCUGGAGAAACCCCAAGUGACGAUUUGUUGGAUCUACUUCUUGUAUCAAAUUCAGGUGAAACUAAAGGAAAUGGACUGACCACCGAAGAAAUUAUUGAAGAUUGCAAGUUGUUUUAUUUUGCGGGACAAGAGACCACUUCAGUGCUUUUGACUUGGACCAUGGUUUUGUUAAGCCAACACCAAGACUGGCAAGCUUGCGUGCGAGAGGAAGUGAUGCAAGUUUUUGGUGAUAGAGACCCCGAUCUUGAAGGCAUUAAGCAACUCAAAGUUGUAAGUAUUAAACCAAACAAACAAAACAAUUUUUUUUUUCAAGUUGAUGUUUUCUUUUAUUGGAUUUCAAGACUAAAGUAGGUCUUUUCAUUAUUAUAGUUUCCUCUACAUCAGAUUCUUACAUUUUAUUUAGUUACUUAUGAGCCACCUGAAAAAAUGCUAAAAACACUAAGAAGUUUGAAAAUGUUAUAUGUGCAAACUACCAUAAUUUUAUAGCAUUUUGAUGAUUUUGUUGAACGAGUCCUACAGAUGACGAUGCUUCUUUAUGAGGUCCUUAGGCUUUACCCUCCAGUCAUCCAGAUGAACCGAGCGAUCCACAAAGAGAUCAAACUAGGCGAUAUGGCAAUACCAGCCGGUGUUCAAGUCAAUAUACCUGUUCUGCUUAUCCAUCGUGACACUAAGCUUUGGGGCGAUGAUGCAGCAGAGUUCAAGCCCGAGAGGUUCAAAGAUGGGGUCUCAAAGGCAACAAACAACCAGGUUUGCUUCUUGCCUUUUGGAUGGGGACCGAGGAUUUGCAUCGGUCAGAAUUUUGCUCUCUUGGAGGCAAAGAUGGCUCUGGCUUUGAUUGUACAGAGAUUCUCCUUCGAACUUUCUCCUUCUUAUGUGCAUGCACCUUACACAGUCAUCACUAUUCAUCCACAGUUUGGUGCUCAUCUUAUCCUAAACAAGCUAUGAUCUUGUGAUAAUAUUACAUAAACUUGUUAUACACGAGCAAACAAGACAGCGUAGAGAAACUAAUCAAGAUCACAUUCAUAAAACCAUGUUUCUGAAUGCUUCCUUGAUAACGACUCCAUCUUUUUAGUGUAAUACUUAUAAGUUUAAAUAAAUUUAUUAUUCGGGAUGUGUACACCUAUAAAUAGUCACCAAUAACCUUUUUUUUAAACACUUUUUUUUUAAAAACACUUGUGUUGGAUAGUCACCGAUAACCAUAUAUUCAUUUUUGUAAAUCGAACUGAAAGUUGUCCUAACUGUAUUUUAUUGAGUUUCAUGGACAUCUAACUUGUCCCAUUAACUAUUGCAAAGUUAAUAUUAUGUAAUCAAAGAAAGUGCAUAUAAAUAUUAUUCUUUUCUGAUUCAUACAAUAUAAAUUUAUAUAGAUUUGGAAGGUUUAUUUUUUAUUAUAUCAUUUUUUUUCUUUUGCCUGAAUUUCUUUUAUUAUAUAGUUUCUUUUUCAUAAGCAAUUAGUUUUGUUAGUUUAUAUUUUCAAGAUCUAAAUAAUUAAUAAAUUAAAUUGUGUACAUUAUUAUAUUUUCAUAUAUAUCAUAAUGUAAAUUAACAAUAAUACAUGUCAAAAUCUAAUUAAUCGUAAAUAUAUUUCAUUCAAACGAUUGAAACAUAUUUUCUUUAAUAUAAUGGGAUACUUAGAAAAUUAAAUCAGUGGAGAGGUUAUUUGAAGCAGAUGUAAAUCUGUUCAUAUAAUUUACUAGUUCAGUACAUAUAAGGGGUAAUGAGAAGUAAAAAGCAAUGAAUAGUUGACAAAAAAAACGCAAAAUAAUUAACCAAGCGCUCGUAGCUUGGUGGUAAAGGAGAUACAGCUGUACUGUCCGCCACCCGGAUUCGAGUCUUGGCCACAACGGAUUUAACAUCCCUUUCGUUGGGGCGCUGGACUCCUUUCGGGGGGAUAGUUGGGAAUGUGGCUGCCCAGAUACCAGAGUUAUAAAAAAAAAAAAAAUUGACUUUCAUGUCUCACCCAAGAUAUGGCCAAAUAGGUUAUCUCUAUCUCUAUCUUCGACCAAAAAAGAUUAUCGAAAUCUUUGCCUUGUGCAUACGUAGCAUGUGGAUGUGAAGUUCAAAGUAAAGCAAAGUUCUUAACAAAUUAUUUUAUGUUAUCUUACAUUUUCAAUCUUUAAAAUCUCAAGAAUAUUAGAAAAAUUAUCAGUCUCUUCUUUCACUGGGAGAGAAAAUGGAGAUAUCAGUUGCGUUAGUAAUAGUUUCAGUAGCUAUAGUUCUUGUAUGUUGGUGGACAUGUAGAACUUUAAUGUGGAUUUGGUUUAAACCAAAGAUGCUUGAGGGUUACUUGAGAAGACAAGGUCUCUCCGGUACUCCUUACACACCGCUCAUCGGGGAUUUGAAGAAGAAUUUCAGUAUGACAAUGGAGGCAAGAUCCAAACCCAUCAAACUAACGGAUGAUGUCUCAACACGUGUUUUGCCUUAUCCGGUGAAAAUGCUCAAUACGCACGGUAUGUUUUCUGGUUGGUCUCUUUGUUGCUGAUGAAGAAAACGUUUCAACUUAAUUCUGUAUCCUUGAUGUUGCUAAAACAGGAAGGACUUUCUUUACAUGGCUUGGAACUACACCAACCAUCAAUAUAAUGGAUCCUGAGAAAAUCAAGGAAGUGUUUAACAAUGUUUAUGAUUUCCAGAAGCCACAUACAUUUCCUUUGGCUAAUGUGAUAGCCAGUGGACUCGUUGCGUAUGAUGGUAACAAAUGGGCAAAACACCAAAGAAUCAUCAACCCGGCUUUCCACCUUGAGAAGAUAAAGGUUUAGGCUUCUUGACUCCCUAGUUAUGUAAAAAAAGAUCACACAUCGGAAAUUUAAGAAUGGACUAAGUAAUAUAUAAAAAACUUUGGUCAAUCGACUUAUCACCACUUGGUUUUAAGUUGGAAGUUUACUGUUCAUUUUGACUCCGUCUAAUUUGUGCUUAUAUGUAUAGAACAUGGUACCUGCUUUGGUCAAUCAACCUCAACGUGUCUGCAUCUAUUAUAUAUAUUUGGAGAUGGUUGUGUCAAUUUUUUUUUGUUUUUUUGUAGUUAUCUCCCAACAAAGGAUAAUAGAAGGAUGAAAGCAGCAUGCGGAGAAAUCCAUGUUAUACUGAAAGGGAUCAUCACCAAAAGGUUAAAGGCUAGAGAAGCUGGAGACGCACCAAGCGAUGAUUUGCUAGGUAUACUUCUUGAAUCAAAUUCAGGGCAAGCUAAAGGAAAUGAAAUGAGCAUUGAAGAUGUGAUGGAGGAGUGUAAGUUGUUCUAUUUCGCCGGACAAGAGACAACGUCAGUUCUUCUGGUCUGGACAAUGGUUAUGUUAAGCCAACACCAAGACUGGCAAGCUCGCGCACGAGAAGAAGUGAAGCAAGUUUUUGGUGAUAAAGAACCAGAUACGGAAGGCUUGAACCAGCGCAAAGUUGUAAGUAAAACUAAAUUAAAAUAAUUUCCAAGUGACUUCAGUACGUUUGUUGUGUUAUGAUGAUUUUGCUGAAUGCUUUCAACAGAUGACCAUGAUACUAUAUGAGGUCCUUAGGCUAUAUCCUCCACUAACGCAGAUGACCCGAGCCAUUCACAAAGAGAUGAAGCUAGGCGACCUUACACUGCCAGGAGGCGUUCAGAUCAGUCUACCUACUCUAUUAGUCCAUCGUGACACACAGCUAUGGGGCAGCGAUGCAGCCGAGUUCAAGCCCGAGAGGUUCAAAGAGGGUGUCUCAAAGGCAACAAAGGGCCAAGUAUCAUUUUUCCCCUUUGCGUGGGGACCAAGGAUCUGCAUUGGCCAGAAUUUUGGUCUUUUGGAGGCAAAGAUGGCUUUGUCUCUGAUUCUACAGAGAUUCUCCUUUGAGCUUUCUCCUUCCUAUGCUCAUGCGCCUUACAUAGUCAUCACAUUGCACCCACAGUUCGGUGCUCAUCUUAUCCUACACAAAAUAUAGUUUCUGUAACGGAUAAACCCUUUGAUUCUGUUGUUGUCAAAGAAACUUGUAAUAUACUGAUGAAAUAAGUCCAGAUCAUAAUAAAACUCAAAGUCUUGGCGCUUUUGUAAUUAUUAUUAAAAAUAGUAUAAAUUAUAUUAAUUUAAUUUGAUUUAUAUACAUGAUAAAUAAUUUAUAAUAUUUUAUAUAUAAAUGUAUAGCACUGUUGAAUAUUAAAUUAAAUAAUAAACAAUGAUAUACCUUGAUCUUCUCAAGGUGGAACGAGGGUUGAUGAUUCUCUUUUGUUUGUACUUUUUGUUAUGUAGUUAUCUCCCAACAAUAAAAGAAGGAUGAAAGCAGCAUCCAGAGAUGGUUUUGCUCUAAUUUAUGUCAAUAUAGUAGAGUUUCUCUAUUUAUACAUAAAAAUGUAUAACAAUCUUAUUUUUAACUCUAUAUAUAGGGAUGAAAAUUGUAUUUUUUUAUAUUUUGUCUUAAAAGUAGAGGAAUUCUGUUAUACAGACAUAAAUUAGAGCAAAUCCACUUUUAUAUUAAAGUUUCUUUAUUUUAGCAUAUAAAAGUAAAUAUAGAAGUGAAAAUAAUCUUAUAAAAUUCACAAUCUCUCCUUUCCCUUGGAGCUAGAGAAAAUGGAGAUAUCAGUUGCGUUAGUAACAGUUUCAGUAGCUAUAGUUGUUGUGUAGUGGUGGACAUGGAGAACUUUAAAGUUGGUAUGGUUUAGACCAAAGAUGCUUGAGAGUUACUUGAGACGACAAGGUCUCUCCGGUACUCCUUACACGCCUCUCGUCGGUGAUUUAAAGAGAAAUUCUAGUAUGAUGAUGGAUGCAAGAUCCAAACCCAUCAAACUAACGGAUGAUAUCUCGCCACGUGUCGUGCCUUUUCCCUUCGAAAUGCUCAAGAGUCACGGUAUGUUAAAUCUUGUAUAGUUGGCCUCUUUGUUGUAGAGUACCUGAUCAAGAACAGAUCUCUAUUAAAUGUCUCACAUCAAUUGGGUAAAAGGUUACUGGGCAAUAUAUGAGUAAUAUUCACUCUUGAGUAGCUUUUCGGUGUGAGGUGUGAGUUAGGCAGUACUAACAUGGUAUUAGAGUUUAUGGUUUGAUGAUUUCCAACCAAACAUUUUCAUACUUUAUGUAGCAUGUAUAUGUUGAACAUCUCAUUGGUAUUUUCGAGAUAAUGGACUAGAGUUUUUUCUAUUAGACCAUGGUCUUCUGCCAUAUAUAUAAAUGAUGUGACAAUCGUCCACUCUAUUUUGGAUGUAAGUUAGACUCAUUACUAGUAGUCUCAUCCUUUGUAUCCGUGAUGUUGCUGAAACAGGAAGGACUUUCUUUACAUGGCUUGGAACUACACCAACAAUCACUAUAAUGGAUCCUGAGCAAAUCAAGGAAGUGUUCAACAAAGUUUAUGAUUUCCAGAAGCCACAUACGGCCCCUUUGGACAGCGUGAUAGCCAAGGGACUCACUAGUUAUGAUGGUGAGAAAUGGGCUAAACACCGGAGGAUCAUCAACCCGGCAUUCCACCUUGAGAAGAUCAAGGUUUAGACUUCUUAAAGCUUAAUGUAUGUAUGUGUGUUAUGUUCAUUUGGUUAACUUGUGACUUUUGAUUUUACGUGUAGAAUAUGGUACCUGCGUUUCACCAAAGCUGCAGCGAGGUCAUUGGCAAAUGGGAAAAGUUAGUCACGGAUAAAGGGUCCUCAUGUGAGGUGGACGUGUGGCCAGGGAUUGUGAACAUGAAUGCUGAUGUGAUCUCUCGUACUGCUUUUGGUAGCAGCUACAAAGAAGGGCAGAGGAUUUUCGAGCUCCAAGCGGAACUAGCACAACUCAUUAUACAAACUUUCGUGAAAUCAUACAUCCCUGGAUAUAUGUAAUAAAAAUAAACUCAACUUAUCUGCUUUAUACAUUGGAGAUGGGAGUUAUGUGUCAAAAACUCUCUUUCUUUUUUUUUGCGUAGUUAUCUCCCAACAAAGGACAAUAGAAGGAUUAAAGCAGGAUCCAGAGAAAUCCAAGUUAUACUGAGAGGGAUCAUUAACAAAAGGUUAAGGGCUAGAGAAGCUGGAGAAGCACCAAGCGACGAUUUGCUAGGUAUACUUCUUGAAUCAAAUUCAGGGCAAGCUAAAGGAAAUGAAAUGAGCAUUGAAGAUGUAAUGGAGGAGUGUAAGUUGUUCUAUUUCGCCGGACAAGAGACAACUUCAGUACUUCUGGUCUGGAUAAUGAUUAUGUUAAGCCAACACCAAGACUGGCAAGCUCGCGCACGGGAAGAAGUGAAGCAAGUUUUCGGCGAUAAAGAACCCGCUACAGAAGGCUUGAACCAGCUUAAAGUUGUAAGUAAAAAAAAUUUCAAGUGACUUCAGUACGUUUGUUGUGUUAUGAUGAUUUUUCUGAAUGCUUUCAACAGAUGACGAUGAUUCUUUAUGAGGUCCUGAGGCUAUAUCCUCCAGCAGUGCAGCUGACCCGAGCCAUUCACAAAGAGAUGAAGCUAGGCGACUUGACACUACCAGGAGGCGUUCAGAUCAAUCUACCUAUUCUGCUAGUCCAUCGCGACACACAGCUAUGGGGCAACGAUGCAGCCGAGUUCAAGCCAGAGAGGUUCAAAGACGGUGUCUCAAAAGCAACAAAGGGACAAGUCUCUUUCUUUCCCUUUGCGUGGGGGCCAAGGAUCUGCAUUGGCCAGAAUUUUGCUCUGAUGGAGAUAAAGAUGGCUCUGGCUUUGAUUCUAAAGAAAUUCUCCUUUGAGCUUUCUCCUUCCUAUGUUCAUGCUCCUUACACAGUCAUCACCAUGCACCCACAAUUCGGUGCUCAUCUUAUCCUUAACAAGAUAUAAUUCCACCACCCCAUGAGAUAUUUAUAAAAAGAGCUUGUUAUAUAUGCAAGAGAAAUAAGAUUUCACAGAAGAAAUUAGUCAAGACCAUCAUACUCCAAAACAAUGAUUUUGUAAUAGUACCAUAAGUUCAGCCCAUUUCAGAUAUUAAUGGGAUUCUUAAAAAAAAAACUGGCUUUUUAUUUUCUUAAUUAACAACAAUUUUGAUAAACUUGUUGUGCAGGAUAUAUGCAUGCCAAAAAAAUAACUCUUUUUUUUAUAUAACAUCAUACUUUAUUGAUCAUAAUAUUGUGUUUACAUAGUCUUCAUGUAGAAGACUUGUUAUCAUUGAUGGUACAUAAUAAUGAAAACAGAACGAAAGAUUGUUCAGAACGAAAGAGUCUUUUAUUAAGUUUGGUAGACAUCUUACUUGUCCCAUAUGUGACAUUCUUCACAUGGCCGUCAUGAUAAAAUAACUCUAUUGAUUUUUUGAUAAAUUGUUAAAAUAAUUUAUCAAUGAAACAAUUUUUAUGUACAAAAACUAUAAAAUUUGAAUAAGAGAAAAUAAUUCUUUAUGAACACUGAACUAACGCUGUAAGAGACCAUGCAACCUUGACAUUCAGAAUACAUUUUUUUUCUUGAUAAAUGAUUUUCGGAGUACAUUGUAGACAUGAUUCAUUCCGAAUCGUUUAUCAAUCAUCCGAGACAUCUAGUUAGACUUGAAUAUGCAUCUUACACAGAUAAAUACAAUUCAUUAUCUACAAAGAAACGUAAAAUAGUUGACGUACGAUUAGAGAUGUCAAAUGUCAUUUUCUAAACUAAGAUUUUUAAAACAACAAUUCGGAACACCACAUGUGAAUAUAAACAGUGAGAUGACAGCUACUUUUUCUACUAGCAAUCACAAAGAAUAUUGGGAAGAAACUCUUAUUAGCAAUGAAACAGAACGAAAAGCUGAGUAAGGUACACAUCACAUCAGAGUUCAAAUUCAAAAACAUCUCCAACAACACAUUUUUAUUUUAUGAACCAAUUCAUAACAUCACAAGUAAAGAUACAAAGCUACUCUCUUCCACAGUUAUAUGCGUAAGCAAAUAAGCAAAAUUGCAUCAAAACUGUUUCUGAGAUCAGGAAACAAUACCUUCGUGAGAGGUCAACCAAGAGCUGCAACAGCUUCUCGCAAACUUCCUAGCUCCAGACCCGUAAAGCACCUGAAAAGUUCAUCGAGAACAAUUAACCAUUUCAUGAUUUGUGCGAGAACAAACCGAAAUUAAGGAACUAAUCAAAGAUUUUCAACCUUUAGUUUUGCUUCUGUGCCAGUGCUGACUCGACCCACAACCACAAAAGCUUGUUUCUGGCCAUCGAAGGAGAAUCGAAGAUUCGAAGGAGAACCCGAAGAAGAACAAAGAAGAGGAAGAUGAAUCGAACACAAGGAAGAGGAAUCGAAGAUGAGAAAGAAGAAUCGAAGAAGACGAGGAAGAAGAAUCGCAGAAGAGCUCUCUCUCUGUCUUUCACGAGUCUGAGAAAAAAAAAAGAUCGUGUUUCCCCAAUUCCCAAACCCUAGACAUUUAAUCCUAUUGGGCUGCCCAUUGUCCAACUGGUUGAGCCCAAAUUUGACCAUAGAUGUAGUUGGGUUCACCCAUUUGGACAAAAAUUAUUUAUGGUUCAAUAUGGGCUUAUCCAUUUUGGUCCAUAUCUAUUUGGACAUGGGCCACCCAUUUAUAACCCACCCAUUUGACAUUACUAGGUACGAUAGGAUACAUACCUAUCAAUAUCGCUCCACACAAAUUGAAGUUCGCUUCUUUUGCCACGUGGCAUGUAACCUAAUCACAAAAUGUAUGGUACUAAAAGACUCAUGCGAUAUUAUUCGCCAACAUUCUCAAUCUAUAAAAUUUCAAGAAUAUUAGAAAACUCUCCAUCUCUCUGGGAGUGAAAAUGGACGUAGUUGCUUCAGUAACAAUUUCAGUAGCUAUACUUGUUGUGUCGUGGUGGACAUGGAGAACUUUAAAGUUGGUAUGGUAUAGACCAAAGAUGCUUGAGAGUUACCUGAGAAGACAAGGUCUCUCUGGUACUCCUUACACGCCUCUCGUCGGCGAUUUGAAAAGGAAUUUUAGUAUGAUGAUGGAGGCAAAAUCCAAACCCAUCAAACUAACGGAUGACAUUUCACCACGUGUCGUUCCUUUUCCCUUCGAAAUGCUCAAGAAUCAUGGUAUGUUAAAUUUUGUAUUGUUGGCCUCUUUGCUGUAGAGUAUCUGAUCAAGAAAAGGUCUAUAUUAAAUGUCCCACAUGGUCUAUGUAAAAGGUGACUUGACAAUAUAUAAAUGUUGUGGCAAUUCUUAUAAACAGUUUCAUACUUACUUAAGUAAGCAUGUAUGAGCGGCUCAUGUAUUUCCGAGAUAUAAAACUUUGAGUUAUUUCAAUUAGAUUAGGUUAUUGAACAAUGUAUAAGUGGUGUAUGUUGCUGAAACAGGAAGGACUUUCUUUACAUGGCUUGGAACUACACCAACAAUCACUAUAAUGGAUCCUGAGCACAUUAAGGAAGUGUUCAAAAAAAUUUACGAUUUUCAGAAGCCACAUACGUUCCCUUUAGGAGAUGUGAUAGCCAAGGGACUCGCUACUUAUGAUGGUGAGAAAUGGGCUAAACACCGGAGAAUCAUCAACCCGGCAUUCCACCUUGAGAAGAUCAAGGUUUUAGCUUCUUAAACCAUAACCUAGAAUGAACUUUAUAGUCCUUUAAGUAUGUGUGUUAUGUUCAAUUGGCUCUGUCCAACUUGUUCCUUCUACUUAUGUGUGUAGAAUAUGGUACCUGCGUUCCACCAAAGCUGCAGCGAGGUUGUUGCAUUUUGGUCCAUAUCUAUUUGGACAUGGGCCACCCAUUUAUAACCCACCCAUUUGACAUUACUAGGUACGAUAGGAUACAUACCUAUCAAUAUCGCUCCACACAAAUUGAAGUUCGCUUCUUUUGCCACGUGGCAUGUAACCUAAUCACAAAAUGUAUGGUACUAAAAGACUCAUGCGAUAUUAUUCGCCAACAUUCUCAAUCUAUAAAAUUUCAAGAAUAUUAGAAAACUCUCCAUCUCUCUGGGAGUGAAAAUGGACGUAGUUGCUUCAGUAACAAUUUCAGUAGCUAUACUUGUUGUGUCGUGGUGGACAUGGAGAACUUUAAAGUUGGUAUGGUAUAGACCAAAGAUGCUUGAGAGUUACCUGAGAAGACAAGGUCUCUCUGGUACUCCUUACACGCCUCUCGUCGGCGAUUUGAAAAGGAAUUUUAGUAUGAUGAUGGAGGCAAAAUCCAAACCCAUCAAACUAACGGAUGACAUUUCACCACGUGUCGUUCCUUUUCCCUUCGAAAUGCUCAAGAAUCAUGGUAUGUUAAAUUUUGUAUUGUUGGCCUCUUUGCUGUAGAGUAUCUGAUCAAGAAAAGGUCUAUAUUAAAUGUCCCACAUGGUCUAUGUAAAAGGUGACUUGACAAUAUAUAAAUGUUGUGGCAAUUCUUAUAAACAGUUUCAUACUUACUUAAGUAAGCAUGUAUGAGCGGCUCAUGUAUUUCCGAGAUAUAAAACUUUGAGUUAUUUCAAUUAGAUUAGGUUAUUGAACAAUGUAUAAGUGGUGUAUGUUGCUGAAACAGGAAGGACUUUCUUUACAUGGCUUGGAACUACACCAACAAUCACUAUAAUGGAUCCUGAGCACAUUAAGGAAGUGUUCAAAAAAAUUUACGAUUUUCAGAAGCCACAUACGUUCCCUUUAGGAGAUGUGAUAGCCAAGGGACUCGCUACUUAUGAUGGUGAGAAAUGGGCUAAACACCGGAGAAUCAUCAACCCGGCAUUCCACCUUGAGAAGAUCAAGGUUUUAGCUUCUUAAACCAUAACCUAGAAUGAACUUUAUAGUCCUUUAAGUAUGUGUGUUAUGUUCAAUUGGCUCUGUCCAACUUGUUCCUUCUACUUAUGUGUGUAGAAUAUGGUACCUGCGUUCCACCAAAGCUGCAGCGAGGUUGUUGCCAAAUGGGACAAGUUAGUCACAGAUAAAGGGUCCUCAUGUGAGGUGGACGUUUGGCCAGGGCUUGUGAGCAUGACCGCUGAUGUGAUCUCUCGCACUGCUUUUGGCAGCAGCUACAAAGAAGGACAGAGGAUAUUUGAGCUCCAAGGGGAACUAGCACAGCUCAUCAUACUAAAUUUUCUGAAAUCUUUCAUCCCUGGAUAUCUGUAAUAGAAAAAACAACCUCAACGUGUCUGCAUCUAUUAUAUUUGGAGAUGGGAAUCAUGUUGUGUCAAUUUUUGUUUUGUUUUGUGUAGUUAUCUCCCAACAAAGGAUAAUAGAAGGAUGAAAGCAGCAUGCGCGCGGAGAAAUCCAUGUUAUACUGAAAGGGAUCAUCAACAAAAGGUUAAAGGCUAGAGAAGCUGGAGACGCACCAAGCGAUGAUUUGCUAGGUAUACUUCUUGAAUCAAAUUCAGGGCAAGCUAAAGGAAAUGAAAUGAGCACUGAGGAUGUAAUGGAAGAGUGCAAGUUGUUCUAUUUUGCUGGACAAGAGACAACUUCAGUGCUUCUGGUCUGGACAAUGGUUAUGUUAAGCCAACACCAAGACUGGCAAAUUCGCGCACGAGAAGAAGUGAAGCAAGUUUUUGGCGAUAAAGAACCAGAUACGGAAGGCUUGAACCAGCUCAAAGUGGUUAGUAAAACUAAAUUAAAAAAAUUUGCAAGUGACUUCAGUACGUUUGUUGUGUUAUGAUGAUUUUACUGAAUUCUUCCAACAGAUGACAAUGAUACUAUAUGAGGUCCUUAGGCUAUAUCCUCCAGCAGCACAGCUGACCCGAGCCAUUCACAAAGAGAUAAAGCUAGGCGACCUGACACUGCCCGGAGGCGUUCAGAUCAAUCUUCCUAUUCUGCUAGUCCAUCGUGAUACACAACUAUGGGGCAACGAUGCAGGGGAGUUCAAGCCCGGGAGGUUCAAAGACGGUGUCUCAAAGGCAACAAAUGGCCAAGUCUCUUUCUUUCCCUUUGCGUGGGGACCAAGGAUCUGCAUUGGCCAAAAUUUUGCUCUGAUGGAGACAAAGAUGGCUCUGGCUUUGAUUCUACAGAGAUUCUCCUUUGAGCUUUCUCCUUCCUAUGUUCAUGCUCCUUACACAGUCCUCACACUGCACCCACAGUUCGGUGCUCAUCUUAUCCUACACAAACUAUAAUUCUUUAACGGAUAAACCCCUUUUGGAGUGAUGAAAGGGAAGUUCAGAUCAUAAUAAAACUCAAAAAUAUUGUUUAUGUAUUCAUGCCAGAACAAGCGUCUCAUGGAUGAAAACCCUUUUGAGCUAUGAUUCUAACAGAACUAAACAAAUACACAAUACAAACGUACGUGCAAAACUCUAAAUCCGAUUCGUACAUUGGUUUAGUUAUUAGCUACUUUAAAAAGUUUUACAAAAACAAUAAGAAGUUUGAACAAUAUUGAUUUUUUGAUAAAUUGUUAAAUUAAUUCAUCAAUGAAACAAUAUUUAUGCAAAAACUAUAAAACUUGAAUAAGAGAAUAUAACAAGAAUAUAACUAUGAACACUGAACUAACGCUAAGAGACCAUGCAACCUUGAUUUUCAGAGUACAUUGUAAACAUGAUUCAUUCCGAAUCAUUUUAUCAUCAUCCGAAACAGUUAAAUACACAGAUAAAUACAAUUUAUUAUCUGCAAAGAAACGUAAAGUAAUUGACGUACGUUACAUGCCUAUCAAUAUAGCUCCACACAAAUUGAAGUUCGCUUCUUGCGCCACGUGGCAUGCGACCUAGUCACAUAAUAAAUGGUACUAAAAGUCUAAAAGACAACAUGGGAUAUUAUCCGCCAACAUUGCUCAAUCUUUAAAAAUUCAAGAAUAUUAGAAAACUGUCCAUCUCUCUGAGAGUGAAAAUGGAGAUAUCAGUUGCGUUAGUAACAGUUUCAGUAGCUAUAGUUCUUGUGUCGUCGUGGACAUGGAGAACAUUAAAGUUGGUUUGGUUUAGACCAAAGAUGCUUGAGAGUUACUUGAGAAGACAAGGUCUCUCCGGUACUCCGUACACGCCUCUCAUCGGCGAUUUAAAGAGAAACUUUAGUAUGACGAUGGAUGCAAGAUCCAAACCCAUCAAACUAACGGAUGAUAUCUCACCACGUGUCAUGCCUUUUCCAUUCGAAAUGCUCAAGAAUCAGGGUAUAUAUGUUAAAUGUUGUAUAGUUGGCCUCUUUGUUGUAGAGUACAUGAUCAAGAAAAGGUCUGAACUAUUGUGUGUUUCUGAAAUAGGAAGGACGUUUUUUACAUGGCUUGGAACUACACCAACCAUCACUAUAAUGGAUCCUGAGCAAAUGAAGGAAGUGUUCAACAAAAUUUAUGAUUUCCAGAAGCCACAUACGUUCCCUUUGCGUAACGUGGUAGCCAAGGGACUCGCUAAGUAUGAUGGUGAGAAAUGGGCGAAACACCGAAGAAUCAUCAACCCGGCAUUCCACCUUGAGAAAAUCAAGGUAUACGCUUCUUACAAUCAUGAUCAAAUUUAACAUGGUAUUAGAACCGCUCAAUGUUUGUGAGGAAGUGUAUUAUAUAUAUAUAUAUACAUAUGUAUAUAAGUUGAUAUCCAAUCCAAUUAACGUAAAUUGAUUUUAAGUUCUCGGAUUCUUUGCCGAGUAUCAGUUUCAGUCUCACCAGUUUGCUAUUUUGUGGAGAAGUCUGUAGAGAUUUGUACCAGAAAAUGCAAUCAAAACUAUUUUGUUUUUUCUUGUACGUGAGAACUGGUUUUCAACAUCACUACGUUAAGUGACUAUCUUUCGGCUGUCCGACUUUGUAUAUUGACGUAUUCAAGCAUUGAAUUGAAUUCGUUGUCAAACUUUCUUAACUUUAUUGCUAGGGUUUUUAUCCUCUUAGUUAAAGAGGAUGGAAAUUUCAUCAUUAUAUUGUAGUAGUAAUAGAAAAGGUUAGAUUAGUGGAAGUAAUUUCGUGUUUCAAAAAAAAAAAUGUGUUCAUUUGGCUCUGUCCAACUUGUUCCUUCUGCUUCUAUGUGUAGAAUAUGGUACCUGCGUUCCACCAAAGCUGCAGCCAGGUUGUUGGCAAAUGGGAAAAGUUAGUCUUGGAUAAAGGAUCCUCAUGUGAGGUGGACGUGUGGCCAGGGCUUGUGAGCAUGACUGCAGAUGUGAUCUCUCGUACUGCUUUUGGCAGCAGCUACAAAGAAGGACAGAGGAUAUUUGAGCUCCAAGCGGAACUAGCACAGCUCAUGAUGCUAACUUUUCUGAAAUCUUUCAUCCCUGGAUAUCUGUAAUAAAAGAAACCUAAACUUGUCUGCAUCUAAUGCUUUGGAGAUGGGAAUCAUGUUUUGUUAAAUACUCUUUCUUUCUUUUGUUGCUGUAGUUAUCUCCCAACAAAGAAUAAUAGAAGGAUGAAGGCAGCAUCCAGAGAAAUCCAUGUUAUACUGAGAGGGAUCAUUAACAAAAGGUUAAGGGCUAGAGAAGCUGGAGAAGCACCAAGUGACGAUUUGCUAGGUAUACUUCUUGAAUCAAAUUCAGGGCAAGCUAAAGGAAAUGAAAUGAGCAUUGAAGAUGUGAUGGAGGAGUGUAAGUUGUUCUAUUUCGCUGGACAGGAGACAACUUCAGUGCUUCUGGUCUGGACAAUGGUUCUGUUAAGUCAACACCAAGAGUGGCAAGCUCGCGCACGGGAAGAAGUGAAGCAAGUUUUUGGAGACAAAGAACCAAACACAGAAGGCUUGAACCAGCUCAAAGUUGUAAGUACAACCUAAUAAAAAAAAAGAAAUUCCCUAUGAUAUCCAUUUUAAUUUAUCUUCAAAGAAGAAAAUGAUAAAAAUAAGUUUUAUUAACCUUUUUAUUAAAGAGUAAAAAUAUAAUUUUACUCUAGAUUUUACUAAUCUACAUUUGGAAUUUAGGGUGGGGUUUUAAGGAUAUGGUUUCAAAAUUUUAAAAAUAAAAAAUAAAUAUUAAAAUUUUAAAAAUAAAAGUGAUUAUUUUGAUUAUUUUCUUAUUCGAAUACUAUUUUUGCGACAAAAAUUUAAAAAUUGUUAUUUAAGAGAUUGUCCAUGAAAAGAUGUUAGUACGUUUGUUGUGUUAUGAUGAUUUUGCUGAAUGCUUUCAACAGAUGACGAUGAUUCUUUAUGAGGUCCUUAGGCUAUAUCCUCCAGCAGCGCAGCUGACCCGAGCCAUUCACAAAGAGAUGAAGCUAGGCGACCUGACACUACCAGGAGGCGUUCAGAUCAAUCUACCUAUUCUGCUAGUCCAUCGCGACAUACAGCUAUGGGGUAAAGAUGCAGCGGAGUUCAAGCCAGAGAGGUUCGAAGACGGUGUCUCAAAGGCAACAAAGGGGCAAGUUUCUUUUUUUCCCUUUGGGUGGGGACCAAGGAUCUGCAUUGGCCAGAAUUUUGCUCUGAUGGAGACAAAGAUGGCUCUUGCUUUGAUGCUACAGAGAUUCUCCUUUGAGCUUUCUCCUUCCUAUGUUCAUGCUCCUUACACAGUCUUGACACUGCAGCCACAGUCCGGUGCUCAUCUUAUCCUACACAAGAUUAGUUCCACCACCCAAUGUGAUGUUUUUAAAAAGAGCUUCUUACGGUAAGAGUUUAGAUUAUUUAUGUUCGCCGGAAGUGGAUAGAACAAGGAAAGGUCGGGUAACAAAAUAUUAAUGUUUCCGGAUUAUUUAUAUUUACGUAUUUAUAGAACUUCCUAACUAUACCGCCAUAUGUUGGUUUUUCACACCCUAACUUUCGAUAUUUUUAAAUUCCUCCCUUAUUUUGUAAUAUGUGGUACUACAAGUCCACAGAUCUUGGUGGAGAGUACUAACGGCAGAUUUGUGUCCAUGCUGUGAGCCGCUGCAAAAUUUCAUACAUGUGUUUUGAAUUCGAGCUUAAAUGGUCCUCCUUCUCAUAGAUAUUUGAAUUAAUGACUCGAAAAUAUAUGCUUUGGUUUAACUAGUGUUAAUAUGGUUGUUAAUGGCGAUUAACUAGACUGAUAAAGUUAGCGGAUUUUGCACCAAAAAAUAAAAGAGUUAGCGGAUAUAUCUCGGAAUCCACUUAGCAAUUAGAAUUAGGUUUGAUUUAUACCGUAUUGAAUAAGAAAUUAACAAUAUAUUUUUAUAUAUGAUUUGAAAACAAAAGUGUGUUUUUAUUGAGUAUAAACGAUGCUAAUUUAUCAAUGUGUAGAUACUGAGUUUGACAUACUGAGUUUGAGAAGUUUAAAAUUUACUUACUUAAUUAAAUCACUUUAAGAUCUAUAUUAAUAAAGUUGCUUAGAAAGGCUCCUUAGAGUGCCACGUCAUCCUUCCAUGUUCCUUUUUCCACCACGUGUCCUCUCACCCAAACGAUACUUCUCAUUGUUUCAUUACUUCCUUUCGUGUAUUGGGCUUUAAUAAUACGCAGGCCUGUCGAAGCUCAAAAAUGGUUUGCCCCAUAUCUCAUCUUCUUCGUCGGCUGACAUACCGGACGUUUAGCCUCCAUGAAACCACCGUCAUAACAUUUCUCUUCAGAUUUCACCAUAAAGAUUUUCCUUUAUGUCCGUCCUUUCCAGCUAAUCCUACGACAUGCUGAUUUCUAAACGGUUCUCUAUCAGUGGGAAGAAUAUUGAUGUUUGAUUCUCUAUCAGCGGAAAGAAUGGUUUCAUGAUAUGUCGUCCUCUUCUUUGAUAUUGCUGUUUUGGUUCUGAAAAUUUCGCAGAGAUUCAGUCCCACAUGUAUUCCAUUUGAUUCGGUCUAUGAAUUUAUUGAUUCUUUUCGUUUUUGUUAGGGAAAAGUUAUUAAGUCAGGGCAUGCUGCCAAAUUGUUGAUAGAGGCGCUGCUUCAGCGGUUCUUGGCUCUCGCAAGACGAUGAAUUGAGGCUGCUCAAGCUCAGGUUCGGCUCCUUUGGAAUCUAUGUGUUCUUUGGUGGUUUAGGUUUUUAGUGCGUUAAGAUGUUCGCUUAUGCUUCUUGGGUUAGUUGAAACAAAGUGUUGAGUAGGAUACAACAAUGAAGGAGAAAAAUUCAUCGUUUUAAAGUAGAUCAAAAGUUAGAUUCUUUGAUGUAUGAAUCUGUGGCUAUGAUGUAUUUAAACGUUUUUUACAGGGAGAAACUGUUACAAUAGAAGUACGAUCGUAAGGAUAUUUGGAACCUCCUCUGCAGCUGAAGAAAUCAUAAGCUUGACAGUUCAAUUUUCUUACACACAGCUCUUCAUGAUGAGACUUCGUCGACUCUGCUUCUGGUGAGUUUAGCUUUCAUUCAUAAACAGAGGAAUAACAAAGGAAAAGUUUGACUCUUGAGAUUCAAGUUCCGUGAGCUUCAGUAGAUACAAUAGGAUAUUAGACAGUACGAGUACAAGAAACAGGCGGUUAUAGCGUAAGAAGGGCAACAGCGGGUCGUGAUGGAGCUUGAUACGACAUGGAGUGUCAUUGCAGAUCUAAAACUGGAACUAGCAUUGGCCGAGCAAACCAAGACUCUCAUCUUGCAAAGCUUAGAGUGGAGGAAAUGGAGCAAGGGAUAACUAACGAGUCGAGUGUUGCAGCCAAAACACGGCUUGAGGUGGAUAAGCGAGACAUUUGUCAGCAGCUAGGAAAUGAAAGAGAAGAGAUAAAUGGUCUCUAACUUACAGAAGUUAAGUCCAAUAUUGAAAAAGCAAUUUAUGUCAUUUUAUAAGGAUUUAUGACAUCUAAAUGAUUUUAAAAGGUGCUUUUAAAAACUUUACAAAACGGUAUGAAUAUCAGAUUAGUUUGUAAAUGAUUUAUGAACUUUACAAAUGAUUUAGUAUCUUUUUAAAAAUAUUUAUAGAUCUUUAUAAAAUGUUUAUGGACACAAGCUUUAUAUCUUCAAAUAAUGCAUCCAUAAGUUAGCCCCUUGUGUUCUCAACCAAAAAAAAAAUUAUCUGUCCACUACCAUAACUAUUUGUAUACGUUCACUUCGUCGAACAAAUAAUAUUUCGUAAUAUGCACAAAACCACCGGACAUUAUUAAACAUUAUAGGUGAACUAAAAACCUUACACCUAUCCACCAUAAGAUAAUAUGAUAUUAUUAUCUAUGAUUUUCAUGAUGCAGUCAUAUCUAUUUUUAAAAAUGCAACAGCCUCGACACAAAUAGCAACUACAAUAGUAGAAACCCUACACGUUAACAACAUUGCACCUUCUGCUCGCCGAUUUGAAAGUGAACCGCUGUUCUAACACCUUCGACACAAAUAGCAACUACAAAUGGGUGUAUUAAUUUAUUAUUGUGAGAAAUUAGUUAUUGUAAUAAUAUUAAAAUCUGAUACUCUUAUAAAUAAAAAAUAUCAGUUAUUCUUAUUUACUUUUUCUUCAACUAUAUCAAAUUGAAAUAGAAAUCAAAUAGAGAAAUAUAAAUCAUUACAUUUCCUUUAUUUUUUUAAUUUAAUAAUUUGUGUUCUCUAACAAAAAAAGUAUUAAUGGUCUUUUGAACGCUAAUAUUAGUAGAAUAUAAAAUAAUUUUAAUGUAAACUCACCCGCCCGUAGGGCGGGUUAACCACUAGUAUUAAUAUAUUAAUGUGUCGAUACUGAGUUUGAGAAACUUAUCGUUAAUGAUGCUCUUAUAAUUGAGCUGUUUCAUCUAAAGUCUUAAGCUUUUACUUGUGAUUAAUUGCGUCUUCAUUUCUGGUCCCAAUCCUCCAUUUAUAGGGGGCGAUUAGUUUUCUCGCUACCACCCGCAAACGCAGCUUUUGCGGUUGGUAGCGGUUGUCGAUGGUUUGCAACAAUCACUUAAAUUUCUCUAAACCGCUUCAAACCGCUCCGAAUCUUAUAAAUUCAAAAACUGGCUCCAGCUAGCGUUUGCGGUUAAGUACGGGCGGUUGUGGAAGGAUAAAAUUUUCUUGAAUCACAAAUUACUACUUCCAGAGAAUAGAAAACUGUUACAAAACCACUCAUACAUAUAUAUACGUACACAAAAAUCAUAUUCUGCUAUCCUUACUUCCCUUGCUCAACAAGUCUUUACAGUUCAGGCACCGCGUUGAUGCAAACAAGCUGGAGGCAGACGGUCAUUUUAUGAUUUUUGAUAUUUUUAUAAUUAUAUUAAAUAUAAAUAUUGUUAAUUUAUUAUUUGACUGUUACUGCAUUUGGUAGUUAAUCAGUCAUAAGUCACCCGCAAACGCACCAAUUUUUAACCGCAGUAUCAGUCGUACAAAUCUCUUAAAAUCGCUAAAAACCGCAACCGCCUACAUCCACAAACUCCCGUAACCGCAACCGCUGCGUUUGAACCAAUCAGGCCCUAGAACAAUAUCAAAAAUGUCUUGAACCCCAUUUCAAUCACUAUAUACUUAUUCUUGAAUCACAAAUUACUACUUCCAGAGAAUAGAAAACUGUUACCAAACCACUCAUACAUAUAUAUAUACAUACACAAAAAUCAUAUUCUGCUUGCUUACGCGCAAUGAAAAAUCCCUUACUUCCCUUGCUCAACAAGUCUUUACAGUUCAGGCACCGCGUUGAUGCAAACAAGCUGGAGGCAGGCGGUCAGAAGUACCCGGAGUCACCGGAGGGAAACUUUUAAUAUUAAUGCCUUGAGGAUAUAAACGAUACUCAAUAUCAAGCUCUCUACAAGCUUUCCCAACUUCCUCUAGUAAUUGACUUCUCCUUAUAAACCUCUCUCCCAUGUCUUGAAAAUUCAUUCUGUGUGUCAACCACACCGCAAUCUUCACGCUUUUCAAGUCAUCCAUGUUUAGGAACACAAUCAUAGGUGCCGGAUACCAAUGAUCCUUCUUGAAGUCUAUAUAACUGCAUGAAAAAAAAACAAAUGAAAGUUUGGCCUUGAGACUUUAAAGUUUUACGAAUUAGUAUAUAGACAUAGCCUCCUAAAUUGUUAAGAAAAUAUAUAUAUAAUUUUUUUUUACUAAAAUGUCUAUAGCCUCAAGAUCUUAGCGUCUCAAUGUAACUAACCUGAUUAUUCUCUGUUUAAUAGCAGCUAUCUUUUCUGGAGGAGUUGCUAUGUGAACAGAGAAUUCAACCGCAUCUCCCAUAUCAGGACUUCGGAAGUAGUUAGCUAUAGGUUUUGUCCCAAGAACACUAUUCGGGUAUAUGAUCUUUUGAUUAUCGUACCGCAAGAAAACAGUUGUCAAUAUGUUCAUUUCUUCCACAACCAACUGGUAAAAGAAACAACAAGAUUAGAACCAUGUCACACUAUUUAAAUAAGUCCAGCAGAUUAUUGUAUUAGGAGGGAACAAACCUGAACACCGUCAAUUUCGCAGCGGUCACCAACAUCAAAUGGGUGCAUAACGAAAAGGAAAAUGAUGGCUUCAAAGAUGGUUUUGCAUGAGUUUCCGAAUAUAAAGGCUACUAGAAGUAGCUGAGAGCUUAAGACUAGCAAGAACUUGGUUGUGGCGAUUCCUAGUAUAAGAAGCCAAAUGAUAAUGAUUAUAAUGCUAAUCAACACAUUGAUUAUGCGGUGAAGCCUGUUCACUGCUGUCUUUGUGUCGUUUAAGGUCAAUGCCAGAGCCCUCCGUUCUCUAAAUGCCUUAACCUGUGAAAAAAACGUCAAGAUAACUCUGUUUUGCAUAUGAAAAGAAUCUUGACAUAUAUAUCUAAUUUAGAACUUACCACCCAAUUCUUGAGGCAAGACUUGCUGAUCCUAAGGCUCUCUGAAGCUCCUUCAAAGAGAGCCAUGGCUCUUUCAGACUCCUCUUCAGACAGAAACCGCAAGAAGUCUUCCAUAUGUAUGUACCUAAAACCCGAUAAAAAGAAACUCAAGAUUUAAGCAUAAACCAUACUAAAAUUUUGGAGCUGUAGAUAAUUUAGUAAGAAUUUAAAUAAAUUUUGUUUUAUACAUUUUGAAAAAAUGUUUAUGGAUAUUAACUUUUAAAACAUUGAAGUGAUACGUCAAUGUUUCACUUGUCUAUGCACACUAAUGAUCAACUUCAAGAUAUAUAUACCUGGAACCAGGCUCAGUGACAUUGUGAAAAAUCUUCUUAGCUGCAAUCUUUGCUUCGCACUCGCUUCUUAUCUGCGUAGCAUGCUCACUCUCCUCAACUGUGUCCUGCAUAUGUUCAUCCAAGGUAGAAAGAGCGCCUUUUCGUAUUAUAUUCAUCAACUUGGUCAUGUUCCAAGCAGACACAUUGUCUGUAUUCAUCCUCUGCAACUGAUCAAUCCUUAUCCCUUCACCAUCUCCUUCUUUGUCAGAACCAACCCGAGACAGUCUCUGACCUUUCCCGGCUUUCAUAAAACUCUUAACCGUCGCUUUUAGAGCUGGAGGCAACUUAGCUCCAGCCAGUUUCUCUAAACUCUUAACAUCAUCCGUUACUUUCUGCUCUUCUUCCUCCAUUCUCUGAAUCUCCAUCAAAGGAGGUCCAGAGAGGGUUUCAAUCACGUACUGAGUGAACAAUGAUUCUUGAAUCCUAUCAAAGUAAGUGCUCAUGUGGAAAGAUGAAGCAAGAACCUUGACCAGAAGUGUCUUAAUCAACCAAAUGAUCACAGCAACAAGGAGACAAACCAACACUCUCGUCACGUACCUAAUGGCAGUAGUCCGGGUCUCUCUUUCCACUUUCUUAUCGAACAAGAAGUGCCACGCAAGCAACACGAGCCCUAACCACAAGGUGUUUUGAACAGACUUUCUAACUCCGUAGACGAAAUACAAAACCCUCUUUCUCAAAACGAAGUUCUUCUCGGCCGAGAAGACGAGGAUCCUCACUAUCCAGCUCGAGACUAGUCUCCCGCAAAUCAACACCAAAACCGUCACUUCCCAUUUCCACAGGUCCAGCUUCCACCAUGUCUUGCGCCGCAAGCUAUGUACCGUUAAGCUACAGACCAAACUGGUGACUAUCAGAACUAAACUUAUCCAUUCGAGCAAAACCCAAAUGCUGAGUUUGUCUCUUUUGAACACGUCCGGUAAGUCCUCGUCCAGAAACGGAUCUUCCUCCUCGUCUUCCUCCAGCGUCCCGGUUCGAGAUGGAGUUCCCGGUUUAGGGCUUUUUCCGAGAAAACCGGUUUUCCGACCGGAUCUCAUCUCUGUUUUGUCGAUAGCUGGAUGCGUCGGUGUUGGAGGAUCCAUAAGUCUUGACUUCGUCUGGUUCCUCCUCAGUAACGGUUUCUUCACGACCUCUGCUUCGUCUCUGUUGGCCUUGUAGUGACGGCUCUCCUCGUCGCUGCUCCCACCGAGUGAGAUUCUGUUCUGUCUCCUUCUCACCGCGUCGGCUUUUCCUUUCGCCGUGAACGGAGAAGACCUCCAUGUACUAGAACAGUAUCAAAAAUGUCUUGAACCCCAUUUCAAUCACUAUAUACUUAUUCUUGAAUCACAAAUUACUACUUCCAGAGAAUAGAAAACUGUUACCAAACCACUCAUACAUAUAUAUAUACAUACACAAAAAUCAUAUUCUGCUUGCUUACGCGCAAUGAAAAAUCCCUUACUUCCCUUGCUCAACAAGUCUUUACAGUUCAGGCACCGCGUUGAUGCAAACAAGCUGGAGGCAGACGGUCAGAAGUACCCGGAGUCACCGGAGGGAAACUUUUAAUAUUAAUGCCUUGAGGAUAUAAACGAUACUCAAUAUCAAGCUCUCUACAAGCUUUCCCAACUUCCUCUAGUAAUUGACUUCUCCUUAUAAACCUCUCUCCCAUGUCUUGAAAAUUCAUUCUGUGUGUCAACCACACCGCAAUCUUCACGCUUUUCAAGUCAUCCAUGUUUAGGAACACAAUCAUAGGUGCCGGAUACCAAUGAUCCUUCUUGAAGUCUAUAUAACUGCAUGAAAAAAAAACAAAUGAAAGUUUGGCCUUGAGACUUUAAAGUUUUACGAAUUAGUAUAUAGACAUAGCCUCCUAAAUUGUAAAGAAAAUAUUAUUUUUUUUUACUAAAAUGUCUAUAGCCUCAAGAUCUUAGCGUCUGAAUUUAACUAACCUGAUUAUUCUCUGUUUAAUAGCAGCUAUCUUUUCUGGAGGAGUUGCUAUGUGAACAGAGAAUUCAACCGCAUCUCCCAUAUCAGGACUUCGGAAGUAGUUAGCUAUAGGUUUUGUCCCAAGAACACUAUUCGGGUAUAUGAUCUUUUGAUUAUCGUACCGCAAGAAAACAGUCGUCAAUAUGUUCAUUUCUUCCACAACCAACUGGUAAAAGAAACAACAAGAUUAGAACCAUGUCACAAUAUUUUAAUAAGUCCAGCAGAUUAUUGUAUUAGGAGGGAACAAACCUGAACACCGUCAAUUUCGCAGCGGUCACCAACAUCAAAUGGGUGCAUAACGAAAAGGAAAAUGAUGGCUUCAAAGAUGGUUUUGCAUGAGUUUCCGAAUAUAAAGGCUACUAGAAGUAGCUGAGAGCUUAAGACUAGCAAGAACUUGGUUGUGGCGAUUCCUAGUAUAAGAAGCCAAAUGAUAAUGAUUAUAAUGCUAAUCAACACAUUGAUUAUGCGGUGAAGCCUGUUCACUGCUGUCUUUGUGUCGUUUAAGGUCAAUGCCAGAGCCCUCCGUUCUCUAAAUGCCUUAACCUGUGAAAAAAACGUCAAGAUAACUCUGUUUUGCAUAUGAAAAGAAUCUUGACAUAUAUAUCUAAUUUAGAACUUACCACCCAAUUCUUGAGGCAAGACU
rnacentral:lncRNA from 1 species